rnacentral:rRNA from 1 species
AACGCGAAGAACCUUACCUACCCUUGACAUCCUAAGAAUCUGACAGAGAUGUCGGAGUGCCGAAAGGAAUUUAGAGACAGGUGCUGCAUGGCUGUCGUCAGCUCGUGUUGUGAGAUGUUGGGUUAAGUCCCGUAACGAGCGCAACCCUUAUCCUUAGUUGCCAACACGUAAAGGUGGGGACUCUAAGGAGACUGCUGGUGAAGAACCGGAGGAAGGUGGGGACGACGUCAAGUCAUCAUGGCCUUUAUGGGUAGGGCCACACACGUGCUACAAUGGGGCGUACAGAGGGAAGCCAACCUGCGAAGGGGAGCCAAUCUCACAAAACGCCUCGUAGUCCGGAUUGGAGUCUGCAACUCGACUCCAUGAAGUUGGAAUCGCUAGUAAUCGCGAAUCAGAACGUCGCGGUGAAUACGUUCCCGGGCCUUGUACACACCGAUAGC